GGAAAAGUGAGUACCGGCUAGUAUCGCGAGAUCAGGAAGGUGGCCGAGUGUGUCGCCGCGGCCAUCAGGCACUUCUCCUUCCUGCCCUUGUAUGAAGAAGGAUGUGUUUGCUUCCCCUUGUGCCAUGAUUGUAAAUUUCCUGAGGCCUCCUCAGCCCUGCAGAACUGGCUAGAGCAAUGUAUCUUAGGCUCACUUAAGGAAGCUGUAGAGAUGAGCCCAAGGAGGGAAACCAGAAGAGCCCCCCAGGCUCACCAGUUGUUUGUUGGCUCCCUACAAACAUGUCAUUCAAGUGGCUAAUCUUACAACAGCACAAAUUCAUCUAACCAGCAGAAAGAGAAGAGGAGGCUCCAAAGGCACUUGACUACUGAGCAUCACCCUGGACGUGUACAAGUCUGCGUCCUUAUUGUUUUCUUCAUUGGGCCGAACUUUCUGGUCCUCAUCCAACAGCUCUUCUAUCACGUGUUCGAAAGUGUCAGCCAAUGAUGUCAAGCCUCUUGAACCUGCCUUGGGCCCAUUCACGCUCUCCAGAGUCCCAUGGGUCCGCACACCUGGAGAUACUCUAUUAUAGCAAAGAAGAAAGAUAAUUUCAUUGAGCCAUCCUGUUUUACAGCACCCAACAGAAUCCCUUCAAAGCCUCGUGGUCUGACACCCUAUGCUACGUGACUUGUGACCCAUCCAUUUGUCAUGUUCUUCGGGAAUGUGGCUAAGGGGCUAAGAUGUGACUUGAAAAGAAAGGUAGAACAAGAUCAUCUCAAAUUUAUUAUCAAGGAAUAGUUCAGAAAACGACUUCAGACCACAGAGACAGCAGAACAGAUGGUCCGGCAUGGAUAGAGCAUCAGACACUCACAGACUGUGCCAACAAGAGCCAUCGAGUCAAAACAGCCAAAGGAAGGAGGGUCAUGGAAUGGGUUCUCUCACACCAAACUGAUGCCCAGAGGCCCUCAGCAUGAAUAACAAAGGCAACCAGACCCACAAGCCAUACUGAGUGGAUACAAAACCUAUACCUAGGCUGACAUCCCAAAUGUGUGUGGCAAGUUAGAUGAUGAUGGCACAAAAGACAGAACACCUUGCUUCUGGCCAUUGUCAGCUCUUGGAAGAGAGCACACUUUUAGAGGAGCAGCUGCAAGGAGCCUGAGAACAAAACUGGAAAUGUCUGUUAUGAAAGCCUUCACAGGAAAUUCUGCAAGUGGCAACGUGGGUCCAUUCCGUGUGUGUCACUAGAGCUGGCGCAAGCCCAUGGCCAUGGUGAGGCAGCGUUUCCACUGGAACUAAUCUGAUACCUGCACCAGCUCUUGCAACUGUGCAGUGUUCCCACUGCAAACUACGGAUGGGGAUUUUCCCUCCUGGUGAGUCAAAAUGAACAAGAAAUACCCCAGGACCUCCCUUCCCUCCUUGGCCAUUAAUGAGAUGAAGGCAAUUAACUCACAUAGUAUAAAUGAAUCAUUUGAGGUGAUGACUGCAUUUUAGGCAAAUGAUGACUUUCUUGGUUCCAUUGGUUUGCAAGUAAAAGUUACACACAUUGAAAAGACACUGAAACAGAUUUCCUAAAUGCUUCAUUUUCUGGAUGCACCAAUGUUGACCUACUAUACAUGUUAAAUGGUUUUAAAAUAUCACCUUAAAAUAAAGGAAACUUCCAGCUACUAACUCAGCUCUGAAUGGGCUAUGAAAGGCUCCAAAGGUAUGUGAAAAAUUACUGUUAUUUUGCUUUAAAAAAUGUGAUGUCUAAGAGUGUCUGCAAUGUUCUAAUGCUUCAAAACAUGUACGUAAGCCUUGUUUAUCUGGAAAUCAUUUCUUUCUGCUUAUAUCAUUUAUAAAUAGAAAAUGUUCUGUAAUAACUUAAAAUAGUUCCACAUACAUAAUGCUUUUAGUGUCAUAAUACUUACUACUGGUCUAUAUUUACCAACAUUUAUCACAUUUUACAAAAUGAAGUAGAAGAAAAAAA
ensembl:lncRNA BDNF-AS BDNF antisense RNA